ACUGUCCUCUCUGAGUGUUGACUGACUGAUAACUGAAGACGUUUCUGGCCUGUGAAGACGGCACAAGCAACAGUCAUGAAUAUGCCAGUGCUUCUCAGAGAGCCGCCUGCAGAGAUACACUGUGCAUCAGGGAGUGUAGUUUAUGCUCAUAACCUCAUACUGAAGCCGCUUCUGGGAAGAUGGGGAGGCUGAAGACAUCUUCUGGAUGAGACCCAAGCUGCCAUUCUCCACAAGGUUGCCGUAGGACAUCAGCACCAUGUCGCCUCUGUUCCACUUUCUCUUUUGCUCAAGUGCCCCCUUGAGAUCAGGAUACUGCAAACUGCACCGAGGGUUUACGUGUUUGUGCCUGCUGAAGGAAUCUGGAGCGAACCGCAUUCAUCCCCAGCCCUCACGUGUAGCUGCAUGACGUGGAUGAAGAUAACCAACAGGAACUCCACAAGAGGCAGCCCUGAUAAACUGUUGUUCUGUGUCUGCAAUUCUGAGCAUAUCUUGUG